CGCAGCCGCGGUAAUUCCAGCUCCAAUAGCGUAUAUUAAAGUUGCUGCAGUUAAAAAGCUCGUAGUUGAAUUUCGGGACCGAUAUAUCGGUCGUGCCUCGGUACGUACUGGUAUUUUCGGUUUCUACCUUCUGACGAACCUUGAUGUCAUUAAUUUGGUGUCUUGGGGAAUCAGGACUGUUACUUUGAAAAGAUUAGAGUGUUUAAAGCAGGCUCACGCUUGAAUACAUUAGCAUGGAAUAAUGAAAUAGGACGUUUGAUUCUAUUUUGUUGGUUUCUAGGAUCGACGUAAUGAUUAAUAGGGAUAGUUGGGGGCAUUAGUAUUCAAUUGUCAGAGGUGAAAUUCUUGGAUUUAUUGAAGACUAACUACUGCGAAAGCAUUUGCCAAGGAUGUUUUCAUUAAUCAAGAACGAAAGUUAGGGAUCGAAGACGAUCAGAUACCGUCGUAGUCUUAACCAUAAACUAUGCGACUAGGGAUCGGAUGAUGUUAAUUUUUANGUACUCAUUCGGCGCCUUACGGG
rnacentral:rRNA from 1 species